rnacentral:rRNA from 1 species
UACGUAGGGUGCAAGCGUUAUCCGGAAUUACUGGGCGUAAAGCGUGCGCAGGCGGUUCGUUGUGUCGGUGGUGAAAGCCCCGGGCUUAACCUGGGAAUGGCCGUCGAAACUGGCGAACUGGAGUGUGGCAGAGGGGGGUGGAAUUCCGCGUGUAGCAGUGAAAUGCGUAGAGAUGCGGAGGAACACCGAUGGCGAAGGCAGCCCCCUGGGCUGACACUGACGCUCAGGCACGAAAGCGUGGGGAGCAAACAGG